GAGUUUGAUCGUGGCUCAGGAUGAACGCUAGCGGCAGGCUUAACACAUGCAAGUCGAGGGGUAGAGUAGCAAUACUUGAGACCGGCGCACGGGUGCGUAACGCGUAUGCAACCUACCUUUUACAGAGGGAUAGCCCAGAGAAAUUUGGAUUAAUACCUCAUAGUAUAUGUCUUUCGCAUGUUAGACAUAUUAAAGUUCCAACGGUAAAGAUGGGCAUGCGUCCUAUUAGCUAGAUGGUAAGGUAACGGCUUACCAUGGCAACGAUAGGUAGGGGUCCUGAGAGGGAGAUCCCCCACACUGGUACUGAGACACGGACCAGACUCCUACGGGAGGCAGCAGUGAGGAAUAUUGGACAAUGGGCGCAAGCCUGAUCCAGCCAUGCCGCGUGCAGGAAGACGGUCCUAUGGAUUGUAAACUGCUUUUUGUACGGGAAGAAACACUCCCUCGUGAGGGAGCUUGACGGUACCGUAAGAAUAAGGAUCGGCUAACUCCGUGCCAG
rnacentral:rRNA from 1 species